rnacentral:rRNA from 1 species
CCUACGUGAGGCAGCAGUAGGGAAUAUUGCUCAAUGGGGGAAACCCUGAAGCAGCAACGCCGCGUGGAGGAUGAAGGUUUUCGGAUUGUAAACUCCUUUUGUUAGAGAAGAUAAUGACGGUAUCUAACGAAUAAGCACCGGCUAACUCCGUGCCAGCAGCCGCGGUAAUACGGAGGGUGCAAGCGUUACUCGGAAACACUGGGCGUAAAGAGCGCGUAGGCGGGAUAGCAAGUCAGAUGUGAAAUCCUAUGGCCUAAACAUAGAACUGCAUUUUAAAAUGUUUUUUUAGGGGAAUGGAGAGGUUAGUUGAAAUCUUUGGUGUAGGGGAAAAACCCG